rnacentral:rRNA from 1 species
AGAGACUGCAAGCGUUAUUCGGAUUCACUGGGCGUAAAGGGUGCGCAGGCGGCCCUGUGUGUGAGGCGUGAAAGCCUGGAGCUUAACUCCAGAAUUGCACCUCAAACUACAGGGCUAGAGCAUUGGAGAGGGUAGCAGAAUUCAUGGUGUAGCAGUGAAAUGCGUAGAUAUCAUGAGGAAUACCAGAGGCGAAGGCGGCUACCUGGACAAUUGCUGACGCUCAGGCACGAAAGCGUGGGGAGCAAAAGGGAUUAGAUACCCCUGUAGUCCACGCCCUAAACGGUGCACACUAGGUCUUGGCGGAUUCGACCCCGCCAGGGCCCCAGCUAACGCGUUAAGUGUGCCGCCUGAGGACUACGGCCGCAAGGCUAAA